GGGGCGGAUUACGGCGUAGAGCAGAGCAGCGGACUCAUAAUCCGUCGGCCGUGGGUUCGAGUCCCACCCGCCCCACCU
rnacentral:tRNA from 1 species